AUGGUCCAAAUACUGUCCCUGAGCCACAACGGAGAUGGUAAACUAAGUAGUAUUCCCUACAUACUAGCAGAUGUCACAGACCUAAAGGAAAAGUACCAUAGAGAGAGCAGGUUGGCUGACAUAGAAGACACGAUAGCCUACUUUGAAGAGAAAGCAGAAGCAGAUGCUGAUUUCUUCUACAGGAUAAGAUUGGAUGAUGAGGACUGUGUCAGAAACAUGUAUUGGGUGGAUGGUGCUACAAGAAGAGCCUACAAACAUUUCCGUGAUUGCAUUUAG
rnacentral:rRNA from 1 species